rnacentral:rRNA from 1 species
CUCGUAGGCGGCCAACUAAGUCAGACGUGAAAUCCCUAGGCUCAACCUAGGAACUGCGUCUGAUACUGGAUGGCUUGAAUCCGGGAGAGGGAUGCAGAAUUCCAGGUGUAGCGGUGAAAUGCGUAGAUAUCUGGAGGAAUACCGGUGGCGAAGGCGGCAUCCUGGACCGGCAUUGACGCUGAGGAGCGAAAGCCAGGGGAGCAAACGGGAUUAGAUACCCCGGUAGUCCUGGCCCUAAACGAUGAAUGUUUGGUGUGACGGGUAUCGAUCCCUGUCGUGCCGAAGCUAACGCAUUAAACAUUCCGCCUGGGGAGUACGGUCGCAAGGCUGAA